rnacentral:rRNA from 1 species
UACGGAGGAUCCAAGCGUUAUCCGGAUUCACUGGGUUUAAAGGGUGCGUAGGUGGAAUGACAAGUCAGUGGUGAAAACCUGCAGCUUAACUGUAGAACUGCCAUUGAUACUGUUAUUCUUGAGUACAUUUGAUGUGAGUGGAAUGUGUCGUGUAGCGGUGAAAUGCUUAGAUAUGACACAGAACACCAAUUGCGAAGGCAGCUCACAAAACUGUAACUGACGACUGAGCACGAAGCGUGGGGAUCAAACAGG